rnacentral:rRNA from 1 species
UACGGGGGGGGCAAGCGUUGCUCGGAAUCACUGGGCGUAAAGCGCACGUAGGCGGCUUACUAAGUCAGGGGUGAAAUCCUGGAGCUCAACUCCAGAACUGCCUUUGAUACUGGGGAUCUCGAGUCCGGAAGAGGUGAGUGGAACUCCGAGUGUAGAGGUGAAAUUCGUAGAUAUUCGGAAGAACACCAGUGGCGAAGGCGGCUCACUGGUCCGGUACUGACGCUGAGGUGCGAAAGCGUGGGGAGCAAACAGG